CUUGGUCGACGGCGAGCCGCACUCCCGUCAUUGCCAAGCAAGUUUAUGGCCCAGACCGACGCCCAUAAACUGUACAAAUGGUAAAUCUACCGUAAGAUCAUCCCAGCCGAAAAUGAUGUAUCGUAGGUUCCGUACACACGAGAAAUCGGCGGACCUACUAGUUUGACCCACCAUCCCUAGUCCCCUUCUCUUUCCUGCGACGAUGUUAUCUAUGACGGAAAGAAUUGACGAAAAAUAACGAUGUACUAUUGGUUUGGAGUCCAGUUUCCAGAUUUGUUUUGAUGAAUCUCUUGUGAAUCUCUUGUAAAAUGAAUCUUUUGACUUUAAAAUAUAAAUAUUAAGUAUAGUCGUAUUGAUAUAGUAUAUUUUGUCGUUUCCCUGCAUUUCGCAUUUUUUUAUAUGGAUUUUUUAAUUCGAAAGGAAUCAUAAAAUACGAGAAUAAAAUUCCGAAAACGAGUGACGAUUACAUGGAAAGAUUCUCAGCUUGAAUAAACUUUGAAUCAAGGUGUCGUUGGCGAAAGUCUUUUGAAAUACGCGCGUGGGACGCUUCGCGAAGCAUGAAGAAUACAGAAGGGAUCAAUGUACACAACGAUUGGCCACGGGAAUAUAGACUGCAGCUUUUAGGAGCUUAUCCUUGUUACACCGUGGUGCCGCUAUGUAAUACUAUCUUAACCGAGGAGAGCCAUUGUGAUCUUAUUUCCGCUUGGCUCGGUCUGCCGAGUUAACAUCUUCAGCUUCGAUCGUGCAACUACAUGUUCUGGCUUUUGUUUCGUUGAAUAUAUUUGUUAAUUCAAUUCAGUAAAUUAUAUAUUUAUGUUUACGAUAUUAUUAAUUUCUAUCAAUUAUAUUUUCAUAAAAUAAAAAUCUCACUAAAAGUAGAGAUUAUUAGAUUUGAAUAUUAAUCUAUUUUAAAGUAAAAAUAUAUAUAUUAAUAUUUUAAAUAAGAAAAGGAAAACAUUUAUUUUUGAAGAAGAAAAUAUAAUGUUAAAUCAAUAAUUUUUUCUUAAAAUUUCUCAGAACUUUUAGUUAGUUUAAGAAAUAUCAUUUGAGAAAUAUAAAAAUAUUUGAAGAUUUUUAAAAUAUUAUGAGAAGAUUUUAAUUUCAUUGAAAUUUUUUAUUUUUAUACAUAUUAAACAUGUGAAUUAAUUUUUUUGAUUUCUUAAAAAGAUAUAGAAUUACAAUUAUCACGCAAUUAUUAAUUUUAAUGAAUAUAUUAAGGAAAUAAAAUAAAUUGUACUGGAAAUUUUUUGUUAAAUAGAAGGAUUUACGAUAUAUGGAUUCUGAUGUAGAUCUGGGAUUUGAUAGCGAUAUAUUUAGUUCACACAAACACAUUAUUCUAUUUUCCUUUGUAUCAAAGUUGUACGUUCUAUAUUUCCAGUUAUAUAUAGUUGUCACGACAACUAUUCACUUACUUUGCAACAACUUACAGAUAAUUCGGAUUAACUACUUUGUAAGUAAAUUAAGCUCUUAGAAAUAUAGAUACAAGAAAAUUAAUCUGAUUUUACACAUUUUCAAUAGAGUAAUUAUUUAUCACGAAAAGUUUAUAUUUAAGAAAAUAUUAAACAAAAUUUUACGAUAAUUUCUCGAUAAUAUCUAUACAAUAUAAAAUGAUUCUCUAUUGAAUGAAAAUUUUACAACAUGGAAGAAUCAAAAAAUUCUCAUUGAAAAUAUGGUACAUACAUUUCCACACACGUACGAUCUCGCGAGCUCAUUAUGUUCCCGGCCAUGCUGUGAAAAGGACGAAAGCUCUCCUCGACGGAUUUAACUUCACGAUACCCACACACCUGUGCUUUACCUGCGCCACGAGAGUGUGAUCAACUGUACGUAAUGGGGACAACCCUUACUAAAUCCUGUAUUGUAAGAAAUCGGCCGGAGUUAAUAAUAGAGCUCGGCUUUCGGCUUUGUGCCAAGCGUAUUGUGCCGCGAACUGAGAUCGUAACUCGUGUGGGAUUCGACCGGUGUCUUCUUAUGCUCGCGAGGAGAGGAUGCAAGAGGAUGCUGCUGUCGUCUUUCACGCCCAGCCAGAGUAAGGGAUUAAGGGAUGAUGCGGUGAUGAGCGGUUCAAAAUUUUGAAAAAUUUUCUUGAACAAUGAUGUAACUGAGUGAUUUAGAAAAGGAAAGAAUUAAGUUUUAAAAGUUAAUGAACAUAAUUUAAAUUUUAGUAAUUUUUUUUUAUGCUUCAAACGUAUUUUAAAAGAUCUUCAUUUUUGGAAAAUUUUGAAAAAUUUUCCCUCGAAUAAUCACGAAUAAUUCCUCGAAUACGAAUGGCGAUAUAAUUUAUGAGACAUUAUGAAUAAAAAAAUUAAGUUUAGAACGUAAUUUAAAUUUGAUCGUCAAUUUAUCUCUUUCUGCGUUGAUAUUAAAAUUUUGAAAUUCUCCCAAAGCGACAAAAUUAAUCGCACACGAGUUAUUUUGUAACGAAUUAAUCAUUCACUUUUUACAAAAACUUAAAUACUAAUCCUACGUUUCAACAUUAAAAUUUCAAAGAUUUCAUUGAAAAUCUUAUUAAUCAAUUUUCUGAAUAUCUGUUCAAAUUAAAAUCUCUAACUUAACAAAACAAAUUAUUAAAAAAAAAAUGAUCUCUGGCCAAUUUCUAAAUAUCACUCCGUUCUUCGCUGCCAUCUUUCGACCAUUAUUUCGAGGACAUUCCAUCGCACACGAAUCUUCGUACGUUCUUUUAAUCGAGACGCGAAGGCAGAAAAAGCCCCUAGAAGCAUCGACACGAAAUGGAGAAGUAAAGGCACGAGCGAGGUACGUCCGUGUUGUAGAGCGGCAGCAUCUGGUGCCACCCUUCCCUCCUUCCUCGCAUCGCAUAAUCCCUCUCUUUCCAUCCCAUCCUUUUUAUCCCUGUCCCGUAUCGUUCCGUCUCUUCUCUAUUUCUCUUCCAUUCUCUCUCUCUCUCUCGCUCCUUCCAUCCACUCUGCGGCCACGUUCCUCCUUCUCUACCGCUCUCGUCCCUGUCCUCACUCCGGUUCAGGCCGCUGCCGUUGUCCCGACGUUACUUCCGUGACGAUGAGCUUCAAUACGCGCCGAUAGUCGCGGCGGGAAA